GACCCGAGACGACUCUGGAGUGGCUUCAGGUCACGUCUCUGACUGUCCCCGAGUGACCCGAUCGAAGCUUAAACCCCACAGAGCUUCUGUGGUAAGACCUGAAGACGGCGGUUCAACACACUACCAUCUGAUCUGAUGAAGACUGAGAGGAUCUGUCAGAAGAAAUAGGAUAAACAGCAAAGAUCCAGGUGUACUUAGCAUGUAGAGACUGACCCCACACGACUCUGGGCUGGAGCUACUGAAAGGGCUUCUAGAGAUGUGAAUACUGCUGGAAAUGGGAGAUUUCAGGUGUUCUGAACCCCAAAACCUGCUGGCAAUAAAUGCAAGAAACUGUAAAAACAAAGAAUCAACAAGUCUUCAGUUUUCUUUGAAUCCAUCAUGUGUGACUUGCUGUUCUGUCAGUGAACUAACCAAAUCUAAGCUUAUUUCAAUAAAAUCACUUUAUUAUACAUGUUUCAAUUUUAAAAAACUGACCAAAUAAUAAAGCAAUUGCACCAGAUUCUGUAAAAAACUAAAGAAAUCUGCACUCCUUAGCACAGCUGAAAAGCUAUGGCUGACUAGGCUGUGACCAGAACAUAGAGGAGAAUAAAACAUACUGGGUCAGUUAAUCAAAUGGCUCAAAAAUGGUUUACAGAGGAGCAAGUUGUUGGAAGAUACAUUCAGCAGGGUGAAAUGUCUUUCUACAGCUGAUGAGCAGAGAUAAAAAGUCUAUGGAGGCUGGAAACAUGGAAAUAUAUUUUUAAAAUGACUCAAAAUUUGUCCAAAAUGACGGAAACUGUUCAAAAAUGGUUCAAAAUAUUGCUCAAAAUUGACUCAAACUUGUCCAGAAUUACAUAAAAUAGUCCACGGACUCAAAAAUGAUUCAAAAUGACAUAAAAUUUGUCUCAAAAUGAUCAUUAAAGGAAAAUCAAACCUAUUGGAUCAAUAAAAUAGAAUUAGAAUUAGAAUGACUUUAUUGUCAUCAUACAUGGCAUGCCAAAAAUAUAAAUAGCUUCCACUGGAUGGUGCACAACAACAAGCAAUAAGUAGUAAAAUAUCAACAUUAAAUAAUAAAAUCAAAUGUACAUUUAUAGCAAAACAAUAUUAAAAAAUACAACGUGUGCAAAGGAGGACAGAUAUGUGCAAUAUGGGAGGUAGAUGAAAUGGAAUAAGAACCAGAAGAAUAUGAUAAAUAUGUUAGGAGAUUGCACGAAAGCAGCAGAAGGUGACAUUGUGCAUUCAGGUAGAUGGUGUUUAGAGUUCAGGAGUCUGAUGGACCAUGGAUAGAAACUGUUCCUGAGCCUGUUUGUCCUGCAUUUUGAGGAUCUCAGUCUCUUCCUGAUGGCAGCAGGCUGAACAGCUUCUGGCCAGGGUGUGUUCUGUCUGCCCAGAUCUUUUUCCCUCUGCUGAUGCAGCAGGAGGUCGUGAUGUUCUCCAGAGGACAGCCGAUGAUUCUCUCUGCUGUCCUGAUAACCCUCUGCAGAACCAGACAGUCACACAGUAGGUCAGUACAGACUCUAUGGUGGCCCGGUAGAAGGACACCUGCAGUCUCUCCUCCAGGUGGUUCCUCCUCAGCACUCGGAGGAAGUGGAGUCUCUGCUGUGUCUUUUUAACCAGUGCUGCUGUGUUGACUGUCCAAGUGAGGUCCUCAGAUAAAUGAGUCCCCAGGAACUUGAAGGAGGCCACUCGCUCCACACAAACCCUGUUGAUGGACAGUGGAGCAUGGACACCCUUAUGCCUCCUGAAAUCAAUGACCAUCUCUUUGGUGUUCUUGGUGUUCAGCUCCAGCUGCAGCAUGGAACUCUCUCAAGGGAUUCCAUAUCUUAUCUGGCCUGGGAAAACCUCAGCAUUCCCCAGAAGGAACUGGAAAACAUGUUGGGUAGCAGAAAUACAAACAAACCAGAGCAUUUUUUCCCCCAUCACAGAGUGAGGAUUAGGUGCAGUCAGACCAUUCUGCACCACAGAAUGGUCUGACUAAGAAAGACCACCAGUCCAUCUACAUUUCACACUUCGCCCAUGGUCAUGAGUGGUAGGUAGUGACCAUACGAAUGAGAUUGCAGAUACAUGUUCCUCUGUAGGAUGGCUGGACUCAGGGUGAGGAGUUUGGACAUCACGUCAAAAGAAGCCAGCUGAGGUUGUUCAGGGUCAGAAUGGCUCCUGGGGACCCUCCUUUGGAGGUUUUUCAAGCAUGUCCACUUGGGAGAGACCCUUGGGUAGAGCUGGAACUCUCUGGAGGAAAUACUUAUCUGACCUGGGAACACCUCAAGAUUCCCUCAGAGCAACUGGAAAACAUGUUGGGUAGCAGAAAUACAAACAGACCAGAGGGUUUUUUUUCACCAAAAAGGAGCAGUCAGACCAUUACGUACUCCAGAAUUAGCUGGCUAAGCAACAUUGCCAGUCGGUCCACAAGUCAAGCCUCACCUAUGGUCAUGAGUUUUGGGUAGGGACACAAAAAUGCAAAUACAAGUGGCCAAAGUAGGCUUCCUUCAUAGCAGGGCUGGGCUCAGCCUUAGAGGUAGGGUUUAUUAGCUCAGACUUCACAUCAAACGGAGCCAGCUGAGGUGGUUCAGGAUUACAGUGGCUCCUAGGUGCCUUUCUUUGGAGGUUUUUCAAGCAUGUCCAACAGGGAGAAGACCCUUGGGUAGACCUGGAACUCUCUCAAGGGAUUACAUAUCUUAUCUGGCCUGGGAACACCUCAAGAUUCCCCAAAAGGAACUGGAAAACAUUCUGGGUAGCAGAAAUACAAACAAACCAGAGUGUUGUAGUGAUGCCUUUCUUUGUGGAGUUUUCAAGCAUGUUAACCUGGGAGAAGAACCUGGGGUAGACCUGGAACUUUCUGGAGGGGUUACAUAUCUCAUCUGGUCUGGGAUUCUUUAGGUUGAACUGGAACACUGCUGGGUAGAGGGAUGUUGGGAAUGACCUACUUGGAUUGUUGUUCCCUCAGAUUAACCCCGGAUAAGCCAAAGAAAAUCAAUGCAUGGAUGAUGAAGAUGCAUUUUGGCCAUUGUAUGUGUGUAUUUGGACUGCAGCAGCAGAGAUUUGCGCUUCCACCAUCAUGUGCCAACUCUUCUAAAUGAGCUGCUCCAGCUUCACUAAUUUUCCAAUCACUGAUUCCCAGCCGGCGUCUUUCUGCUCAUUAAAGCCGACCUCUGUGCAUACAGCUGUGUCAGUUUGCCUUAAGAAGGGUCGAAGUUUAAGACACAGCAUGAACCGUGAGAUGACAACACCAUCACACUCAUCUCACUCCAAGCUGUUCUAUAGCACGCCAUCAAAUUAAUCACUAUAGGCGGGUAGGUCAAGGAGGUUAUCACCGAGAGAGGAGCAGAGAUGAGGAAAGCAAAAGAGAAGGGGAGAGCUUUGGGGAACAGACACCGUAUAGGGAGUGAAGGGGAGGGAAAGGAGCAGAUGGACUCGGAGGAUUAGAGGGAAAUCUGAGUGAGUUUCCAUCAGAAACUCACCCAAGACGGAGGAGGGCGUGAUGAGGGAGCGCAGAGGGAAAGAGGAGGUGAAAGAAAGUGUCCUGUGGACCCGAACACGGUGGUGGUCCAGAGACUGGCAUUAAUCUCAUCCACCUAACCCUGCUGGAUUAACACGGAUUACCAGGCCGGAGGUAGGCCUGAGAUACCGGACUAAUCACUCCUUGGCGAGCCCAUUCCCUCCGGCAGAGGUGGAGGAACAGGUUGAAGAGCCCGCACGAUUAGUGGCAAAAUCCACUGGACACGAUUUAGACAUUUAUAGCAAAGGAGAAGCCAUCAGGGAAGGCAGGACAUGAGACGGGAAACAUGGGGUAAACCAAACACCUCGCCUGGUGACGUCCAGAAGAACGGAAGCAGAGAUUUAAAUCUGCUCAUCUGCUCCACUCGUUCAUCAUGAUGCUGUGACUGAUUCUGCAGCCAGAGGAGGAAAGUUCCUCCUGCAACCUCUGGCCUUCACAUCUGUCUUCUCUGCUUUCUCUUCUUGCUGGAAGUGAUUAAGUCCCAGCGCUUCAUCUCUCUCCACUCCAUUGUCCUCUGACCUCCGCCAGCUGACCCAUCUCCUCCGUGAAACUCCGCCUUCCUUCAUCCCACCGCUGACCCCGUUUCAUUCUCCCCUCUGACCUUCGCUCCACUUCUCAAACGCUACUAAUCCUCUCUCCUUGCUGCCUCGCUCUUCUCCAACAUCUUCCAUAAAGCGAUCUCGCUCACCCCGGAACCAGUCGAGCCAUUGUUGCACCUUCUCAAACCAAAUCUUAUCUUUUUCCUUUGGUUGUCUCCGGGUCGAGCUGCAGCCAUGUUGGAGAACAUGUCCAGGCGUAACCGCUCCCUGCUGUCCCUGUCCCUCACCUCUUUAGCCCUCACGCUGUCCGUCUCGGCCUUCUGCACCUCCUACUGGUGCGAAGGGACCCAUAAGGUGGUGAAGCCGCUGUGCCUGUCGCCGGUCAAGAUGAAGAACUGUGGACAGAACAACAGCCAGCCGUACACCACAGAGGCGCCGACCCCGGACCCCAAGAACCCGACACCCAACAUGACGCUCUCCCCGAUGCAGAAGGAGGAGCUGGCCCGGAUAAAGAGGAAGCAGCUGGCCAACGCCGUCCACUACCUCUGGGAGACGGGCGAGGACAAGUACAUGCUGCGAUACUUCCACACCGGCUUCUGGUUGUCCUGUGAGAAACACAAUGAAGGUGAUGAUCAGGAGGAAAAGUGUCGCAGCUUCAUUGAGUUGACACCUGGAGAGACACAAGGUGUGCUGUGGCUGUCGGUCAUCAGUGAAUUCAUGUACAUUGGCCUCCUGGCCAUAGGCUUCCUGCUGAUGUGUGUGGAAGCUCUGUGCCUCUGUGCCAAGAGGGAGAUGAACGCCCUCAAGAUCAACGCCUUUGCUGCCAUGUGCACCGUCCUCUCAGGUAUGAUGGGAAUGGUAGCUCAUAUGAUGUACACCACAGUGUUUCAAAUGACUGUAAGCAUCGGACCAAAGGACUGGAGGCCACAGACCUGGGACUAUGGAUGGUCUUUUGCCAUGGCAUGGCUUUCAUUCAGCUGCUGCAUGGCUGCCGCUGUGGCUACACUCAACUCCUACACCAAGACCAUCAUCGAGAUGAAGCACCGGGCCCGGGUGAGGCUGGAGGAGGCCCGAGCUGCCACCAGCGCUCCGUCCUACGAGGAGGUGGUUCGAGCUGGAGGGGGAGGAGUUUACUCCGUCAGCCAGCUCAUUCAGCUCGGCCAGCAGGGGGUGCUCAUGGAUCCAAUGUGGCCCAGAGGAGUGGGACCUGCUGUGGGACCUCUGGCAUGUGGCGCUGGAGGGGCGCUGCUAGUUGGAGGUGGAGGAAUUGGAGUUGGAGGCAUCGGGAAUGUUGGUGUUGGGAUGGGAAUGGGCGGAGUUGGAGGGAAUGGAGUUGGAAUGGGAGGGAUGGGAGUCAUGGGUGGAGUUGGAGGGAAUGGAGUUGGAAUGGGAGGGAUGGGAGUCAUGGGUGGAGUUGGAGGGAAUGGAGUUGGAAUGGGAGGGAUGGGAGUCAUGGGUGGAGUUGGAGGGAAUGGAGUUGGAAUGGGAGGGAUGGGAGUUGGAGCAAUGGCAGGAGUUGGGGGAAUGGGAACAGUGGGAGGAGUUGGGGGAAUGGGAACAAUGGGAGGAGUUGGGGGAAUGGGAACAAUGGGAACAAUGGGAGGAGUUGGGGGAAUGGGAACAAUGGGAGGAGUUGGGGGAAUGGGAGCAAUGGGAGGAGUUGGAGUGGGAGGUGGACGGCUGGUGGACCCUCAUGGCGUGGUGGUGGUGGAGGGAUGUGGCGCUGAAGGAUGUGAGGACUGUGAACGGGAAAUGGACGAGAUCGAUUACGCUCUGCAGGAGGACAGAGAGGACUCACUCUGCUGAGACUUUGAAGACCAGAGGACUGAGACAAACAUCUGGUUAGCUUUGAUUUUAGUCAUCUGACUGAACCUACAAGAUUUGGACACACGCAUCUUCAUAAGUCUUUGUUGGUUUGUCAUAAAUAGGCAGCUCCAAGGGAUCAUUCCAGCGCAUUUCUAGACUCUUUUUAGGCCUGCAUGCAUGCUGUGGACCGUUCACAGAGCAGAUGUGUCGUCGAAUGUAUCUUUAUACAGGCCAUGACUGUAGCAAACCAAAGGUGUAGGGUUGUGGCAAAGCAAGACGGUGACCUGGGAUUGUGUCGUCAGUUACUGGAUCCAACACAGCAAUGGGAAAUUUAAAGUGUAGCACAGAGUUUGCACAAUAUAGAUGAGGUAUCAUCUGCAGACUACAGUAGACUCUUUACACAAGAAAGUUGACCAUGUCAUCAAGUGGUCAAGAUCGAGAAGUGGACUUCCUGUUACAUGCAAAGAUGUUCUUUCCCGUAUAUCAGUCACUUUAUGACUCAUUUCUGUGUAAAUUUAAAUACAGAACUGGUAAAUUCUUGUCUGCAGAGCAGAUCUCGGUGAUGCAUAUGCGCUCCUGUCAUGCGUGGUAAAGCCACUUUCAUUGAUUACAAAGGAUGGUAUUGGAUGGCGCCACAUCUUGUGGACAUUUAGUACAACCACAGGUUACACAAUGACAGUUUAAUAAUGUAUUAUCCCAUUUUUUGACCACUCUGUUGAUUUAUUACAGGGUCUCGCUGAACAAGUUAGCACAGCAGCACUGUUGCCCCAUUGCCUCCAUGUUUCUGACAACCUGAAGAAUGUAUAUCCAAGAACCAAACCUUUCUACUGAGUGUUGGUGUGUAGGGAGUCUUUCUGCACCAGAAGAUGAAGUCAACGAGGCUAAAAGCUUCACAGAGCUGAAGAACUGGCAUGUUUCUAUAACCUCUCCUAUGCUGCUGGUACUCUUACUGACUUCUUACUGACAUUUAAAAGCUCCACCACAUCGUUCAUAGUCGUCCAAUAUUUCUGACCAAAUACCUGACAUGGAUGCCUGGGGCAUGACAGACGACACAUUUGGGAACGAAAGAAGAAGCAGGGAUCAAAGAUUACAUCAACAGAGAGAUUUGGAGGUUAAGACAGAUGCUUUCAAAUGCUGGACAGAAGAUUAUGUCAAUAAUCUCCCCUGUCAGGGGAAUAAGAGAGAGAGCCUGACAUAAUAUAGGCAGUGAAGCAGAGAUAAAGCAGACCUCCGGGUCACUGAACACUAUGUGAAAAGUAAUUAAAAAUGUAAAUUAAAUCGGAAUUAUACAACCGUUACACAACUGUCAACAUAUGCAAAGUGAUGGAUUUGAUUAGUUUAUUACUCAUAAGCUGAGCAGUGUCUGUCGCUGUGCUUUUAACUGAAGCCACCACAUGUAUGUGUUUUCACUUUACAUCUAAUUUUUAAAUAUUUUAAGGAUGCUAGAUGUUCUAAUUUGCCAAAAAAUAGCAGUUUCUACUCACUCCAUUGAAAAACUACAAAGUGAGUGUCCAUGAUUUUGCAGUCCAGUGAUUUUCUAAAGAGAUAAAUACUUUUUUUGGAAGGAACCCUCCAAAAUAAAUGUCCUUUUUGGUGAA